UACAGAGGGUGCAAGCGUUGUUCGGAAUUAUUGGGCGUAAAGCGCGUGUAGGCGGCUUUGCAAGUCGGGUGUGAAAUCCCUCGGCUCAACCGAGGAAGUGCGCCCGAAACUGCAGAGCUUGAGUACCGGAGAGGAUGGCGGAAUUCCCGAAGUAGAGGUGAAAUUCGUAGAUAUCGGGAGGAACACCGGUGGCGAAGGCGGCCAUCUGGACGGAUACUGACGCUGAGACGCGAAAAGCGUGGGUAGCAAACAGG
rnacentral:rRNA from 1 species